rnacentral:rRNA from 1 species
CCUACGGGAGGCAGCAGUGGGGAAUAUUGGGCAAUGGGCGCAAGCCUGACCCAGCAACGCCGCGUGAAGGAAGAAGGCUUUCGGGUUGUAAACUUCUUUUCUGAGGGACGAAGAAAGUGACGGUACCUCAGGAAUAAGCCACGGCUAACUACGUGCCAGCAGCCGCGGUAAUACGUAGGUGGCAAUCGUUAUCCGGAUUUAUUGGGUGUAAAGGGCGUGUAGGCGGGAAAGCAAGUCAGAUGUGAAAACUCAGGGCUCAACCCUGAGACUGCAUUUGAAAUUGUUUUUCUUGUGUGCUGGAGAGGGAAUCGGAAUUCCGUGUGUAGCGGUGAAAUGCGUAGAUAUAAGGAGGAACACCAGUGGCGAAGGCAGAUUGCUGGACAGUAACUGACGCUGAGGCGCGAAAGCGUGGGGAGCAAACAGGAUUAGAUACCCCAGUAGUC